rnacentral:tRNA from 1 species
GUAGACGAGUUGCGAGGUCAGCCGUCAGGGGCGUUCUCGGCUUCCCAAGCUGAUAACGCGGGUUCGAUUCCCGUCAUCCGCUCCA